rnacentral:rRNA from 1 species
CUGCAACUCGCCUACAUGAAGUCGGAAUCGCUAGUAAUCGCGGAUCAGCAUGCCGCGGUGAAUACGUUCCCGGGCCUUGUACACACCGCCCGUCACACCAUGAGAGUUUGUAACACCCAAAGCCGGUGGGGUAACCUUUUGGAGCCAGCCGUCUAAGGUGGGACAGAUGAUUGGGGUGAAGUCGUAACAAGGUACC